rnacentral:lncRNA from 1 species
CACUUUCAUUUUCUAUGUUCAGUGGACAGUGAAAUUGGGGUCAAAAUUAUAAUUUGGAAAGAUCAUAUCAUAGGGAACAUGUGUACUAAGUUUCAAGUUGAUGUAACUUUAACUUCAUCAAAAACUACCUUGACCAAAAACUUUAACCUGAACUUCGCACUAUCAUUUUCUAUGUUCAGUGGACCAUGCAAUUGGGGUCAAAACUAUAAUUUGGCAUUAAAAUUAGAAAGAUCAUAUCAUGGGGAACAUGUGUACUAAGUUUCAAGUUGAUUGGACUUCA